UUUAAAUGUAAAAUAAAUAUACUAAAGUAGUAUUAGUUAUGUUCUUGAAAUUUAAAGAUUUUGGCGGUAUUUUAGUCUAUUUAGAGGAGCCUGUUCUAUGAUUGAUAAUCCACGAUUAAUUUUACUUAAUUUAUAUAAAUUUGUAUACCGUCGUUAUAAGAAGAUUUUAAAAGAAUAUAAAUUUUUAAUAUUUUAUAUAAAAAAAUAUAUCAGAUCAAGGUGCAGUUUAUAGUUAAGAAGAAAUGGGCUACAAUAAAUUUAUUUAUAUGGAUUAAAGUAAGAAUUUGACUUUAUGAAAGUGGAUUUAAUAGUAAUAAAAUUAAUUUAAAUUUUAUGAUUUUAGCUCUAAAAUAUGU
rnacentral:rRNA from 1 species